AACUGCGGAUAUUCAAGGUUUUCAAUUUUUUCUAGGGAGAAAACAUUCAAGAAGCUGCCUACAAUAUGGAUUGGUACGACAUGGAUAAGGCAAUGAAUAAAGAAUACUUAAUUUUUCUUAUGAAACUUCAGCGGCCGCAUGAGUUGCAAUCAUUUAUAUUUGUUCUGCAGAAGCCAUUGUUUCUUCAGCUGAUGCGAAGCGUUUACUCAUUCUUCAUGUUGAUGUACCAAAUGAAUUGAGGAUUGGAUAUUAUCCUCUGCACAACUGAGAAUGAUUUUAAAUUUCUGAUUGUUCAAACAGAAUUCAAUAUAUUUGCUUUAAUU